ensembl:Mt_tRNA
AAGAAAAUGGCAGAGCGGUCAUGCGGUUGGCUUGAAACCAGCUAAUGGGGGUUCAACUCCUCCUUUUCUCG